AUGAACGCUGGCGGCGUGCCUAAUACAUGCAAGUCGAGCGAACAGACGAGGAGCUUGCUCCUCUGACGUUAGCGGCGGACGGGUGAGUAACACGUGGAUAACCUACCUAUAAGACUGGGAUAACUUCGGGAAACCGGAGCUAAUACCGGAUAAUAUAUUGAACCGCCUGGUUCAAUAGUGAAAGACGGUUUUGCUGUCACUUAUAGAUGGAUCCGCGCCGCAUUAGCUAGUUGGUAAGGUAACGGCUUACCGAGGCGACGAUGCGUAGCCGACCUGAGAGGGUGAUCGGCCACACUGGAACUGAGACACGGUCCAGACUCCUACGGGAGGCAGCAGUAGGGAAUCUUCCGCAAUGGGCGAAAGCCUGACGGAGCAACGCCGCGUGAGUGAUGAAGGUCUUCGGAUCGUAAAACUCUGUUAUUAGGGAAGAACAAAUGUGUAAGUAACUAUGCACGUCUUGACGGUACCUAAUCAGAAAGCCACGGCUAACUACGUG
rnacentral:rRNA from 1 species